GUGUCAGCCGCCGCGGUAAUACGGAGGAUGCAAGCGUUAUCCGGAUUCAUUGGGUUUAAAGGGUGCGUAGGCGGAAUGAUAAGUCAGCGGUGAAAGCCUGCAGCUUAACUGUAGAAAUGCCAUUGAUACUGUCGUUCUUGAAUGCAGCUGAGGUAAGCGGAAUGUGUAAUGUAGCGGUGAAAUGCGUAGAUAUUACACAGAACGCCAAUUGCGUAGGCAGCUUACUAAACUGUGAUUGACGCUGAGGCACGAAAGCGUGGGGAUCAAACAGGAUUAGAAACCCCGGUAGUCC
rnacentral:rRNA from 1 species